CUCUAUGCGGGACUGUGCGGGGCAGCCUUCGGGCUGGCCGGUACUCUGUAGCCGGUUUUUCUACCCCCGUACAGCUCCCGCACCUAA
rnacentral:antisense_RNA from 12 species